rnacentral:rRNA from 1 species
CUAACGGGACUGCCCGCGGAAAGCGGGAGGAAGGAGGGGACGACGUCUGGUCAGCAUGGCCCUUACGGCCUGGGCGACACACGUGCUACAAUGCCCACUACAAAGCGAUGCCACCCGGCAACGGGGAGCUAAUCGCAAAAAGGUGGGCCCAGUUCGGAUUGGGGUCUGCAACCCGACCCCAUGAAGCCGGAAUCGCUAGUAAUCGCGGAUCAGCCAUGCCGCGGUGAAUACGUUCCCGGGCCUU